CAGUAAAUAUUGAUUUGGUACUAAUACGAUAUGAUACAUUUGAUAUAGAGUAAAUGUAUUGGUACAGUAAAUCUUGAUGAUGUAUAAUGAUAGAAUAAUUUUAUUAUAAAUAUAUGUUAUAUAUUUAUUUUCUUAAUGUACAUCAAAGUUUAGGAAUAAUGAUAAAGUUAGUAGAAGAUAUUGUUUGUGCAAGUGUCCAUU
rnacentral:lncRNA from 1 species